rnacentral:ncRNA from 1 species
ACUUUAACAGGGCAAACCUCGCGAAAGCGAGGGACGCAAAGUCAUUGAUCUACAGGGCCAAUGCCCCAGGAUAGCAAGACUGCAAAA